rnacentral:lncRNA from 10 species
CAAAACAUACCCCAUCAACGUUAGAGAGGAAAAAACAGGCCUCGAGAAGGACUGUGAGCUAUUCAGUAUCCCCAGAAUGCCGGGCAGAGCAGACUGCAAAGAAAUAUUGCUUUGGUGAAUGAUGUGCCGGGAUGAGGUGGAGGCAGGAAGGCCAGAAAUGAGCACAGUCAUCCAGCCAAACGGUGCUGGGAGCUCAGGACGGAGUGGCAGAGUGGUGUUGGGAAAGAAGGGACAUUUAAACAAGAUGGAAGAGCAAGAGGACUUGAUGCUCCUGCAAGCAGUCCAGGAAAGGUUAGAUUGUGUGUUUAUUUUCCUCACUAAACCCACAAGAUUUAUAUGUUGAAAUUCUAACCCCUAAGGCAAUAGGAAGUGGGGCCUUUUGCAGGUGAUUAUGUCAGAUGGAAUUAGUGCCCUUAUAAAAGACACCCUAGAGAGCUGCCUUGCUCCUUCAACCACAGGAGGACACAGCAAGAAAGUGCCAUCUAUGAACCAGAAAGUGGGUUCUCACUAGACACCCAGUCUGCCUGGAUCUUGAACCUGCCAGCCUCCAGAACCAUGAGAAAUAAAUUUCUAUUGUUUAUAAGCCACCCAGUCUAUUUUGUUAUAACAGCCGGAACAGACUGACACCUUGGCACUGGCAAUCUUUCUAUGUUAUAGAAUUAACCCAGUGCCAGCCUCAUUAUUGUGAAAUAAGCUGGCCUAUUCUGCAGUAGAUAGUAAUCCAGCAAUAAAAGGCAAGCAGCUGAAAAAUCAACAUGGAGCAUUCCUCGGCCCAUUCCCUUUGGUGCACUUAGCAAGGACAUGAGCAGACGCUGUCAGUUUGAGUCACAAGGCAUGUGUCCUGGCUCUUCACGUGCCCCCGAGCACAGGUCUUAGAGUUUGGGGCAACUCUUCGGGGGUCAGUGUGACUCACAGGCAUGGAGCAUGAGCAAAGUGGUGGGCUGAGUGGUUGGAAGGUAAUAAAUUCUUAAACUUAACUAAAAUAACCCAAGUCUUAAUUCAGGAUAUUGGUUGCCUAAGCAACAGAGAGGUUAAAGCAGCAAUAAAUUAUGGCUAGUCUUAUCAAAAUAG